rnacentral:rRNA from 1 species
UUAGCGAAGUUCCUGAUGUCACACUGCCAAGAAAAGCUUCUAGUGAGAAAGUAACUGCCCGUACCGCAAACCGACACAGGUAGUUGAGGAGAGAAUCCUAAGGUGUGCGAGAGAACUCACGUUAAGGAACUCGGCAAAAUGACCCCGUAACUUCGGGAGAAGGGGUGCUGACCGCAAGGUCAGCCGCAGUGAAUAGGCCCAAGCGACUGUUUAUCAAAAACACAGGUCUCUGCAAAAUCGAAAGAUGACGUAUAGGGGCUGACGCCUGCCCGGUGCUGGAAGGUUAAGAGGAGAGGUUAGCGCAAGCGAAGCUUUGAAUUGAAGCCCCAGUAAACGGCGGCCGUAACGAUAACGGUCCUAAGGUAGCGAAAUUCCUUGUCGGGUAAGUUCCGACCCGCACGAAAGGCGUAACGAUUUGGGCACUGUCUCAACGAGAGACUCGGUGAAAUUAUAGUACCAGUGAAGAUGCUGGUUACCCGCGACAGGACGGAAAGACCCCAUGGAGCUUUACUGCAGUUUGAUAUUGCGUGUUUGUAUCACAUGUACAGGAUAGGUAGGAGCCGAAGAUACCGGGACGCCAGUCUCGGAGGAGGCAACGGUGGGAUACUACCCUUGUGAUAUGACCACUCUAACCCGCUGCUCUUAGCGAGCAGGGAGACAGUGUCAGACGGGCAGUUUGACUGGGGCGGUCGCCUCCAAAAAUGUAACGGAGGCGCCCAAAGGUUCCCUCAGAAUGGUUGGAAAUCAUUCGUAGAGUGUAAAGGCAGAAGGGAGCUUGACUGCGAGACCUACAAGUCGAGCAGGGACGAAAGUCGGGCUUAGUGAUCCGGUGGUUCCGCAUGGAAGGGCCAUCGCUCAACGGAUAAAAGCUACCCUGGGGAUAACAGGCUUAUCUCCCCCAAGAGUUCACAUCGACGGGGAGGUUUGGCACCUCGAUGUCGGCUCAUCGCAUCCUGGGGCUGUAGUCGGUCCCAAGGGUUGGGCUGUUCGCCCAUUAGAGCGGUACGCGAGCUGGGUUCAGAACGUCGUGAGACAGUUCGGUCCCUAUCCGUCGCGGGCGUUGGAAAUUUGAGAGGAGCUGUCCUUAGUACGAGAGGACCGGGAUGGACACACCGCUGGUGUACCAGUUGUUCUGCCAAGAGCAUCGCUGGGUAGCUAUGUGUGGACGGGAUAAACGCUGAAAGCAUCUAAGCGUGAAGCCCCCCUCAAGAUGAGAUUUCCCAUCACUUUAAGUGAGUAAGACCCCUGAGAGAUGAUCAGGUAGAUAGGUUGGGAGUGGAAGUACAGCGAUGUAUGGAGCGGACCAAUACUAAUCGGUCGAGGACUUAACCU